GACGAACGCUGGCGGCGUGCCUAAUACAUGCAAGUUGAGCGCUGAAGGUUGGUACUUGUACCAACUGGAUGAGCAGCGAACGGGUGAGUAACGCGUGGGGAAUCUGCCUUUGAGCGGGGGACAACAUUUGGAAACGAAUGCUAAUACCGCAUAAAAACUUUAAACACAAGUUUUAAGUUUGAAAGAUGCAAUUGCAUCACUCAAAGAUGAUCCCGCGUUUUAUUAGCUAGUUGGUGAGGUAAAGGCUCACCAAGGCGAUGAUACAUAGCCGACCUGAGAGGGGGAACGGCCAAAUUGGGAAUGAGAAACGGCCCAAACUACUAAGGGAGGCAGCAGUAGGGAAUCUUCGGCAAUGGACGAAAGUCUGACCGAGCAACGCCGCGUGAGUGAAGAAGGUUUUCGGAUCGUAAAACUCUGUUGGUAGAGAAGAAAGUUGGUGAGAGUGGAAAGCUCAUAAAGUGACGGUAACUACACAGAAAGGGACGGCUAACUACGUG
rnacentral:rRNA from 1 species